rnacentral:rRNA from 1 species
GCAGUCGACGGCAGCGCGGGAGCAAUCCUGGCGGCGAGUGGCGAACGGGUGAGUAAUACAUCGGAACGUGCCCAAUCGUGGGGGAUAACGCAGCGAAAGCUGUGCUAAUACCGCAUACGAUCUACGGAUGAAAGCAGGGGAUCGCAAGACCUUGCGCGAAUGGAGCGGCCGAUGGCAGAUUAGGUAGUUGGUGAGGUAAAGGCUCACCAAGCCUUCGAUCUGUAGCUGGUCUGAGAGGACGACCAGCCACACUGGGACUGAGACACGGCCCAGACUCCUACGGGAGGCAGCAGUGGGGAAUUUUGGACAAUGGGCGAAAGCCUGAUCCAGCCAUGCCGCGUGCAGGAUGAAGGCCUUCGGGUUGUAAACUGCUUUUGUACGGAACGAAAAGUCUCUUUCUAAUAAAGAGGGAUCAUGACGGUACCGUAAGAAUAAGCACCGGCUAACUACGUGCCAGCAGCCGCGGUAAUACGUAGGGUGCAAGCGUUAAUCGGAAUUACUGGGCGUAAAGCGUGCGCAGGCGGUUAUGUAAGACAGUUGUGAAAUCCCCGGGCU